CGUCUCAGUUCGGAUUGUAGUCUGCAACCCGACUACAUGAAGCUGGAAUCGCUAGUAAUCGCGGAUCAGAAUGCCGCGGUGAAUACGUUCCCGGGUCUUGUACACACCGCCCGUCACACCAUGGGAGCCGGAAAUGCCCGAAGUCAGUGACCCAACCGCAAGGAGGGAGCUGCCGAAGGUGGAGCUGGUAACUGGGGUGAAGUCGUAACAAGGUAAC
rnacentral:rRNA from 1 species